rnacentral:rRNA from 1 species
UACGUAGGGUGCAAGCGUUGUCCGGAAUUACUGGGCGCAAAGAGUUCUUAGGCGGUUUGUCGCGUCGUUUUGUGAAAACCAGCAGCUCAACUGCUGGCUUGCAGGCGAUACGGGCAGACUUGAGUACUGCAGGGGAGACUGGAAUUCCUGGUGUAGCGGUGAAAUGCGCAGAUAUCAGGAAGAACACCCGUGGCGAAGGCGGCUC